UACGGGGGGGGCAAGCGUUGUUCGGAAUUACUGGGCGUAAAGGGCUCGUAGGCGGCCAACUAAGUCAGACGUGAAAUCCCUCGGCUUAACCGGGGAACUGCAUCUGAUACUGGAUGGCUUGAGUUCGGGAGAGGGAUGCGGAAUUCCAGGUGUAGCGGUGAAAUGCGCAGAUAUCAGGAGGAACACCGGUGGCGAAGGCGGAUCUCUGGGCCUUACCUGACGCUGAGGCGCGAAAGCUAGGGGAGCAAACAGG
rnacentral:rRNA from 1 species